rnacentral:lncRNA from 1 species
CUCUUUCUACUUUUUCUUUUUAAUUAUUUUUAUAUAUUUGUUCUCUUAAUAUAUGAUUAAAAAAAUUUAUAAAUUUUUUUAAUUCAAUCUAAAUUUUUAUUUAUUUUUAUAAAAAUUUAAAAUAUAUAAAUAAUUUUUAAAUAAGUUAAAUUAUUUGUAUUAAAUAUAAAUUUUAAUUAAGCUGAAUAAAAGAAUUAUUAAAAAUAUAUAAAAAAUAAGAAAGAAAAUUUAAAAAUGAAACAUAAAAAAAGUAAAAAAAAAUAAAAAUAAAAGGAUAUGAUAGAUAAAAAAAAAAUAGAGUCAAAAUGUAAGAACAAUAAAUCAAUUUUUCUAAAAAUUAUAUAUAAUUAUAAUAAUAAUUAUAAUAUAUAUAAUUAUAAAUAUAAUUAUAUAUAAUUUCUUAUUAGUAUUUUUGUCUUUAUUUUUUUUAAUCUUUCUUAUAAUUUUAUUACAACAAUAGUUGUUUAUUUUUUAGUUAUUUUUUUAUACAAUUUUUUGACUCUUUUUUUUUACUAUUAUUUAUUUUAUUUAUAUAUUUAUUUCUGCAGAAUCGUUCCGCCGCAACGCGCGGGUCCUUCACUAGUAUAAACAAUAUAUGCGAAGAACCCUCUGUUUCUAUAUGUUGUUUUGUUUCUGAUCUUAAGUUAUUGAGUUAGAGUUUAUCAAAAAGAAAAAUUGAAUGUAAGUCAGUGGCCGAAUUAUACAAAUUUGCUAUUUUGUGCGUAAGCAAAACCGUCUACGAUUGGAAUGUUAAUUAAUGAUAAAGUGGCUACAUCUUGUAUGUUUAAAGCCUAAUAUAAUCUUCUUUUUGCUUGCUUAUGUCUCAAAGCACCCAAAUAUUCUCUCUCAAUAAACCUGUUAGGCAGGUUAAAGAGAAUCAAAAUGCCUGUUUAGAGGCAUGUAAAGAUAUUUCAAACUCCUUUCCUAGUCAUGGAGCAAUGAAAAAGCUAAAGUUGUGUCAAAAUUCUUUCUAAAUUAAAUUAAUAACGUUAAAAGUUAAGAACAUUUUAAUAAGAAUUAGAAAAUUGAUUGAUCAUAAUUAGUGUAGUUGACUAAGAGCUUACGGUUGACAGCUCUACAAGAUUACCUCGCAAGACUUAUAUGUAUUAAAAUACUGAUGUAUUAUAUGCAAAUUAAUUUAUGUGUUGCAUUAUUAUUAUUUUUUAUUUGCAUCUGAAAAUGCCACCGUUUGGUUUGGGGUUAAAUAAAAACUUGUUAUUUCAGGGAUAGAGUUAAGUUCAGGUUAAGGUGGGAUUAGAGUAAUUUUAUGUUUGGUUGAGAAUUAGGUUUAGUUCAGGUAUAGAUAAAAUAGUGUUUGGUUGGAGUAGGUGGGAUAAAACGAUAGUAGAUAAAAUAGUGUUUGGUUGGAGUAGGUGGGAUAAAAAGAUAAUAGAUAAAAUAGUGUUUGGUUGAAGUAGGUGGGAUAAAAAGGAUAAUGGGUAAAAUAGUAUUUUGUUUGAUUAGAGUAGUAGGGUGGGGUGGUGUAGCUCCACCCCCAAAUUGAGUGUUUGGAAAUAACUUUGGAGUUAAAAAGUUAUUCCACCCCUCAACCCCGAACCAAACGGAUGCUUUGGAGUCAGAAUAAGCUUCACUUGUCCCUUUGGAUUUGCUUAAGGCGUGGAGUCUCUAUCCGUCUUCUUAAUGGACAUGAACUGGACCGACGGUCUAUAUCCACCAACAUUAAUUAUUUGAUGUUGAACGGAAAAUGUGUUGCAUGGACAAGAUUCAACGUGUUAGUCGUGAACCACCCAGUUGAUAUAUUAUUCAAUUUAUUUUUAUAUUCAUAUACAGGUGAAAGAUCUGAUAAAUUAUACCACAUAUAGUGAUAAUAAAGAUAACGGUAAUAUGCCACUGAAGAGCAGAUGUAAAAAUUGAGCAUAAAACCUCCGUCUAAGAAUAAUACGUCGGAUCGUUGGUGCUAAUUGUUAAUCUCAACAGUUCGAGUUUGUUAGAAAUAUAUAAUUUAUUUACUUAAAGUGUACGAACGCAGCGCCAACGAAUUUUAACUAUAACUCGGUCCAUCCAGCAUUAUAAUAUUUCGAACAUGACUCGGCUUAAUUCAACCUCACGUCAUUUCGAACGUGACGCGGUCCAAUCUGGCAUCCCAUCAUAAAACAAAAUACCGAUCCUUUUAAGCUAACAUAAUAGUUACAUAUUACGUACAAAAAUGUUGCCACAAGUAUAAUGUGAAGGUAUUUAAUAUUUUUACUUAGUUUAGAUAGGUUUGAUCCCUGUUAGUUUAAUAUUUUGAGUCCUCUUUAGCACAAAUAAUAAUUUCGGGGGGGAGGGAAACACUCAAACACUUCAAAGAGUGAGGGAUUUGAAGUGAUUAAAACACACUUCAAAGAAUAUAAAUAGGAGUAUAUUUUUCAUUUUUGACUUAGUUUUUCAUACAUCAUUAGCUGUAGCCACAUAGGCUCAACUGGAGCCGAAAGAACCUCACGUGCGUAACAAACUAAUCCUUUUCAUUUAAUAAAAGACAUUAGUGGAGGUAUCACUUGUAAAAAAGGAAAAAAAAAAGUAUUUUAAAUUUUCAUAGUACACUGUAAAGAUGAAGGGAUAUAAGACCAUUAAAAAAUUGGGAGUGGAUGGUAGUGUUGGAUUUGAUCUGUUUUGAUGGUGACAGAGAAUAAGACAAGGAGAGUAAUUGGAUCCAAUUGGGUCAAAAUUGUUUUUAGUAUAAAGAAAUUAGACAAAAUUUCAGGGUGAUUUUGGCUGUUACGCAAAGUGGUCAAAAGAAAAUUAGUGUCGCAAUCUUAAUACAAAAGCCCUGGAUUCUUAUUGUAAUUGUUGACCUACAUCGGCUAACAAAUUUUUUUUUCUCUCUUUUUUUUUUUAUUUUGAUUGUUCUGUAUAAGAAUAAUAAUAUCUAAUUAAAAAUUUUAUAAAUUGCAUACAAAUGGAAAAGCAAAAUUUUUUUUAAAAAAUCAUUGAACUAAUAAAUUAGUAUACUAUUUAUUUUUAGGCUGGUUAUCAGCUAACAUGACAUAUUAAGAUUGCUUUGAAAUAUAUAACACAGUACAAGUGUUACAAUAAAGACACGAUUUUGCAACAGAAUCUUUUAUAAAUUGUCUGUUGUUAUAUUAGUAGUCACAUGUAGCAUCUUAAAUUGUGAAAAUCAAUCAACAUCUUUAUAUUAUGUUAUAUAUUUAUUAAAAUAGUAUUGCUAAUGACCCUACAACAGCACUCAUUUCUUGUUUGGAUCCUAGAAUCUGUAAAACUCACAUCUAAUUUUUGCAACAGAAUUGAUAUUGCGAAAGCAAAAUUUAAUUACACGACAAAAUAAAUUUAUAUUAAUAUCUAAUCAUGUUUGAGACUCUUAUUAGAUUCUAACAACAAUGAAAAAUACUUUGACAAUAUACCUUUUCUUGUGAACCUAAAAAAGGAGGGUGUAUUGUUGCUCAAGAAACCCCUUCACAUGGAAAUGGAGAGCCCACCUAACCAACGAUGAUGUGAAAGGUUUUUAGAUCUCGGGACAACUGCUUAUAUACUCCUAAAGAGUUUUCAAUUUUCUGAUUUAUUCUUCUUACAAGAUUAUUUUACGUUCCAAUUUAUUUUCAAUAUAUUCCUUACAAUAGUGUUAUCUCUAUAAAAUUACUAUUUUUCUCUUUUUAAAUAUACCAUUUUAUCAUCACUAACUUUUCUUAUUUGUUCUUAAGUUAGGAACACAAGAAGUAUUUUAAUUUUUUGUCUUUUCAAAUAUACCCUUCUGUCAUUACCAAUAUUUCUUAUUUGCUCUUAAGUUAAGGACAAAAAAGACAUUUUAUUUUUUUUUUUAUAACUUCGGUAGAUAUUUAAUUUAUAUUUAACCUAAGUUAACUUAAUGAAUGAUAACUGCAGGAAUAUUUUAAAAUAAUAAAAGAACAUAUAAAAAAUAUAUUAAAAUAAAUAAAUAAAUAAAAUAUUGGGGAAACUUCAAAAACCCUCCUUGUAGUUUUAAUUUUUUUCACUUUAGUACCUUGUGGUUUAAAAUGUAUCAAGUUAGUACCCUGUGGCUUAAGGUGUAUCAAGUUAAUACCUUGUGGUUUUGCACUUUAUCACUUUAGUACCAUGUGGUUUUAAUUUUGUAUCAAAUUAGUAUCAUGUGAUUUUUUAAACCAUAGGGUACUAAAGUGAUAAAGUGUGAAACCACAGAGUACUAAAGUGAUAAAGUGCAAAACCACAAGGUACUAACUUGAUAGACCUUAAACCACAGGGUACUAAAGUGAUAAAGUGAGAAACCACAUGAUACUAACUUGAUACACUUUAAAUCACAUGGUACUAAAAUAAAAAAGUAUGAAACCACGGGGGGUGGUUUUUGAAGUUCUUUCUAAAAUAUUUUUGAAAUUUUGAGGGGUAUAAAAAUAAUCAUCCCUUAGAUCUUUAUCUCUCUUUCAAUGGGGUUUGCAAUGUCGAUACUUGUGGAUAGGCCUUUUCUCAACAACUUUAAUGGGUGCCGCAGCAAAAUUUGACCAGGUGCUCAAGAGUCACAUCCAUGUGUUUUUCUCAGCAACUUGUUGCAACUUGCAACUUGUGGUACCCUGCACACAUCAACAUUAAGUAUGCAGCUAAGAAAUGGUCCCUAGAUCAAAGGAAGGACAAGAAAUAUAAUUAUUAGAACUGCAGAGUAUUUUGAUUCAGCUAUCCCAUUUUUCUUUUUUAAUUCUAGUAUCAAAUUUUAUAUUUAAUUAAUUUAAACAAUUUGAUAAUUUUUGGUUAUAAAAUUUAAGUUAGUAUCUUACUUUAAUAUGUUAAUUGUUAUGUGAAUUAUAUAAAAUAUAUUAACUAAACUGAUAAAAAUAAUCGAUGUGCUUGAGUUUGGAAGUUAAAGGAUCACUACCCGGCUCAAAUCAAAUAAAUUUAAAUGUUCGAUAGUGAAAUAAAAAAUUUUGAAGUUAGGAAAGUUACAUCAAAACGAAUGAUAGUUGAGGUAACCUUUAUUUUACUGGAAUUUUUCUCAACUUUUAAUUUAUAAGAAUAAAGCUAAAUAAAUUCAAAAUAUCAUCAAACGUAUUGAUCUAAAAGGGGAAAACCUGGAUUGAGUAAGUAAAUCACGCGACAUUGACUAAUAAAGGAAAUAUUUAAAAAGAUAAUAUAAUAGCAUGUGGAAUAGUAUCAGAAAGGAUUCGAUACCGUGCAGGAAAUAAGCCGGAAAUAGUUUUAUACCAUAAAUCUUAGGCAUGCAAAUGGAUCCGAGUUAAUGUAGCUCUUGCCCAUAUCCCCUAGAAAGAGGCAGUAAUGGAAGGCUAAAAAUAAAAGACAAAAGUAAUCCGUUCCAUAUUUGCUCUAAUCUACUAGGGAUACGGAGCGAGAGGAGCGAUUUGUCAAAACUUUGUUCCUACUCUGAUAUGUUCUAACGGGGGACGAAAUAUAGAAUAAAAAUCAAUUCGUCCCGACCCUCCAAGUAAAUAGAGAGGGAGAUAGGGGAUCCCUUCUGCCCCAAGAUCCGCCGAGUAUCCUUAAUAAGGCUAUAUGUGCAUCUUAAACAAAAGUCUGCAAAUGGGCUGGAUCGGGCUUUCAGAUGCUGUACAGAUAGUAAAACCAAAUAGCCCAGGGUGGCCCAUAUGGCGUGUAAAAGGCCCAUAUAAAGUUUUUAAAAGAAGUUUGGGAAUAUUGAGGUAUAUCUGAUUGGCCCCUGUAAAUGUUUAGGGCAUUGAGUUUCUUCUUUGGGCUUGUGUAAGAUACAUAGGCACUACAAAUUAGGGGUUGCAAUCCGGCUCGCCGUUCGCGAACUAACUCGUGUUUGAUUCAAAAUGAGCUCGGGAUCGAAUUGCUCGUUUAGUAAACAAGCCGAACACAAGGUGAAUUUUUCAGCUUGUUUAAUAAACGAACCGAACACGAGCUGGGAUCAGCUCGCUCGUGUUCGGCUCAAUAACAGUUCGAAUACAUAUAUUUUAUAUUUAUAUAGUUUAUUUAAUUUAUAUUUAUAUAUAUGAAUAAAUAAAUAUAUAUAAAAUAUAUAUUUUUGUUAUUUAAUUUUUUAGCAAAAUAAAAAUAUAAAGACGUGCUUAAUUAUAAAAAGACUUAUUUAUUUGUAAAGUUGCAACCAAUAGAUUAAAGUCUAAUUAGAUUAAAAACCACUGAUGAUAAAAACAUGAACUACAAACGGUAGUGACAUAUACAGUAAGGCAUAACCGUUACAAAUGAAGAGCUGAUCUUCGUAUAAGAUUUAAUCCUUUUCUUGUGUGGUGUUCCAAUUGCGUAUGCAUUGCGGACACACUUGAAGUGAAACGCCAAUUACAUGUAAGGACAAUUAGGAGCAUAUGAAUUAAAAGAGGCCUCUCUCUCUCUCUCUCUCUCUCUUUAUAUAGAGUACUCUAGAGUGUUUUAGAAAUAAAUGCUCUCUCUACUUACUAAUAGAGCACUCUAGAAAACUCUAGAAAUAAGUGUUCUAAAAUACUCUAAAGUGUUUAAGUUGUGAGUUGGGGUUUGGGCCUAUAAAUAGGUGUAAGACCUCCAUACCAAGUAAAUGUGGUGAAGUGGUAAAGAGUACAUUAUGAAAUUGUAGUGUGUGUGGUGAGGCACAGUGUAGAGAGUAAGGGUGUAUUGAAUAGUGAAAUUAGUAUGUGAGUUUUUUAGUAUUUUGGAUAUAUGUGAUAAAAUUUUAUGUAAUAGUUAUUUUGUAUGUACUAAAAAGUGUUUUAUUAUUAGUUUGAUACGUCAAUAUUCUAUAUGAACUUUCAUACCUUGAAAUAUAUAUAUUUGACGUAUCAUCAGCAGGAAGGAAUUCCUUAAGGUCCAAGCCGUCGUGAGGGGCGUUUCCUCGGACAUUCCUUGUCGUCCCAAGUACCCUAUAGAGAUUAAAGCAUUUAUUAUAAACAGAAAUUAUGAAUUGAGAAGAAGCAGGUGUCGAAGAUAUGAAACGUUUUGGCAAACACAAGAGCACCUGUAGGUUUGGGUAUCUAACAUGUUAACCUAUUGAGCAAGGCGAGUUACCGCGAUUGAUACUUCCUUGUUUCAAAGUUCGCUCGCUGUCUUUCAUUUCAAGUUAAAAGAAGAGAAGGUAUUUAAAAAAAAAGAAGAGUAUAUUAAAGAGUCCCAUAAUUGGUUCCAGGAGAAUCUUGAGACAAAGAAUCGCGGAAAUAAGAGAGCCAGCAUACCUGAAAAGAUCUAAACUGAACAGCUGAGCAAGGCAGGAAAUCAGGAAAAUGUAGUCUCCUUUAAUCAAACAGUCCCCUUUUGCUUGGAAAUUGUACUCAGACAAGAAUACCACAAGAAUUUAAGCCAUAAUGAAUCUAUUAUUCGGUACUGAAUAUUAUUGUUGAAAUGUGUCUUCGCAUUCCUCUCUGGGUUCUUGUGUUGAAACAUGUGAAAAAUGCAACAAAAUAGUUAGAUAAAUGCGCGAUGACCUGAAAUUUUAACGCGGUUUUAGCAAAAAAGUGACUAAACCAGGCAAUGGAGGAUAUCGAACCCACGAACACUCGGAACGAGGGACAUGUCGCUACUAACCGCACUACAGAAUUAGAAUCCGCUAACUAUCAAAACAACAUUUCAUGCGUUGUUUGGUGGGUUGUUUGGACUGGUAUUUGGUGGGUUGUUUGGACUGAAAGGAAUGACUGUCUUUUCUGUGCGAAACCUCCCAACACUACCCGUGCACUAGAACGUGUUAGACUUCUGCUGACAUCCUGGAUCACGAAACUCUGACCCUGAACGUUUGGUAUUGAUCUACCUCUUUCCUAUUUUCCUGGUUGACUUCGCCGUUUUUUUUCCUGUUUAUAGUUUUUUUGUUUUAUUUCUAGUUUCUCUCUUUUGUCCGGAGGCCUCGGCUGCCUCCAUUAUGUAAGCCUAAUUCAUUUUCCUAAUGAAUGAAGCAGAUAGCUUGCUAUCUAUUUCUCAAAAAAAGUAUUUCUUGCGUUGCUAGAAAAAAAAAAAUCAUUGAGGAUAAGACUAAAUCUAAGAGGGAAUUACUUUAGGACAAAUUCUCUUUGGGGCCAAAAAGUGAUGCCACACUUGUUAAUUGUGUAAUCUCUUUUUUUUUGUAGCAUAUUGGAUUAUGCUUUAAUCAGAAAACAAAUUGACCUCGACUUGAGUAUUAUUCCAAUGUAGAUCUGCUCUUUCAUAUUACUAUGCCUAACUUGCGACAAUUCGAAGCAAUUCCUUUCACAUCACAUAAUUUAAUCAUUCCUUCAAUCAAAGUAAGAUUCCAAAAAGAAAUUAAUGAAACUUGCUUCGACAUAAAUCAGUUUCAAACCUUUCUUCUUUUUUUUUUUUGAGAGAGAUAGAUAGCACGCUACCCGCUUCGUUUAUUUUAUUUAGAAAUAAAUUUAGUUGGAAAUGUGAAUUAAUUAGGAUUCAAACUUGAAUCUCGGGUACCAACCAUCAAACCCUUUACCACUUGCUCUAGGAAUGGUCGGUGUUUCAAACUUUUCUUCAUCUAACAUAUUUGAUAGGAAUUAGAUCAAAUUUAAUAGAUCUGGUCAGAGGAUAGCGACCAAAAUCAAUUCCGCUAACAGUGUCGGUUUCAUGUCAAAUGAUUAGGCAACAUUUUCAAAGAAAAGAAAUUUUUUUUGAGCUUGUACAACUUCAUAAUAAAUACAAUAAACAGGGAAGUGAACAGAGAUGCAACAGUAACUUCAGGCUGCGUUUGGUUCGGGUAUAAGUAAGAACUGCUAGUUCUAGGGAUAGGUACAAGUUCAGGUAUAAGCAGGAACUAGACCAAUUUUGCGUUUGGAUGAAAAUUGGGUUGUUCCUAGGAAUAAGGUAAAUAGUGUUUGGAUGGUUAGAUUGGAACAAGAGGAAUAAGAGUUAUAAUUUGAAAUUAAAAUUAUAUUAUGUAAUUAAUAGUAAUAAAAAUAUUACUUAAAAAUAAAUAAGAAAUUAAUUAUUAAUAAUUAAUUAUAAAUAAUAAUAAUAAUUAUUAAUUAAUUAUAAAUAAUAAAUUAAUAAUAUGGAUUAUCUAAUUAAUUAUUAUUAUUAUUAUUAUUAUUAUUAUUAAUUAUUAAUAAAUAAUAAUAAUUAUUAAUUAUUCUUAUUAAUUAAUUAUAAAUAAUAAAUUAAUAAUAAUAUUGAUUAUCUAAUUAUUAAUAAUAAUUAAUAUUAAUAUUUAUUAAUAAAUAAUAAUAAUUAUUAUUAUUUAAUUAUAAAUAAUAAAUUAAUAAUAAUAUCCAUUAUCUAAUUAUUAAGAAUAAGAAUUAUUAAUUAAUUAUUAAUAAAUAAUAAUUAUUAUUAAUUAUAAAUUAUUAAUUAUAAAUAAUAAAUUAAUAAUAAUAUCGAUUAUCUAAUUAUUAAGAAUAAAAAUUAUUAAUAAUUAUUAAUAAAUAAUAAUUAUUAUUAAUUAUAAAUAAUUAAUUAUAAAUAAUAAAUUAAUAAUAAUAUCGAUUAUCUAAUUAUUAAGAAUAAAAAUUAUUAAUAAUUAAUAAUAAAUAAUAAUAAUAAUUAAUUAUUAAUAAUUAAUUAUAAAUAAUAAAUUAAUAAUAAUAUCGAUUGUCAUUAAAAAUAAUAAUUAUUAAUAAAAAAAUAAUGAAUAUUAUUAAUUAUUUAUAAUUAAUUAUAAAUAAUAAAUUAAUAAUAAUAAUUAUCUAAUUAUUAAUAUUUAAUUAUAAAUAAUAAAUUAUUUAAAUUAUUUAAUUAUUUAAGUAAUAAAUAAUAAUUUAAAUAUAUUAAUUAGAUUAAUUAAUAAUUUACUGCCAUUAAAAUUAAAUUUAGAUUUUAAUUAAUCUUGUUCUCAUCAAGGAACAAGUUUGUUCCAGAAAACGGGUGGAACAGCAGUUUCAGCCUUAUACCAGCUAGUUCCAGAUUCCCGGGAACUACUGUUCCCGGAAACCAAAAUUGCGUUUGGGAACAAAGGGGGGAACAAGGGCUUAUUCCCCCCCUUGUUCCCGAACCAAACACUAUCUCAAAGAAUCAAAGGAGAACAAAUACCUUCACUCACAUCUAUGCACACACAUUGGAGCUAGUAUUUUUGAAAAAAAAAAAGGAAGGAAAAGGACAUCUUGGGUGUUGCUAAAAAGGGACUCAGUAAACCAAAUGUGGCUCUCUUAGUUUUUAAUUUUAUAUAAAAAAAAAGAAAAGAAAAGGAAUAUUAGGCAUUAUUAGUAGGGCCAGUGAGGUGAGGAGCGGGAAUAGGGGGAGGGAGUAGAGGGUCAGAUUGUUGGCGCUAAUCAUUAAUUCUAAAAUUUUGAAUUAUUAAAAAUACACAAAUAAUUUAUUUAAAGUGUGCAGACACGGCGCCUACAGAUCUCUAUUGUGAUUCGGUCUAACCAGGCUCACACUACUUCUAACAUGAUUUGGCCUAACCCGACCUUCCGUUAUUUCGAACGUGACUCGGUCCAAUCUGACCUGCCGUUACAGAACAUGAUGAUGGUCCUUUUAAGCCAACGGACAAUAUCAAUUUAAUACAAUAAUGAAGACAAUCUAAGCUGUUUUAAUUUCUUCAACAAUAUUUUAAACCGAAUGCUUUUAAAUUAGUGAAAAGAUAUACUUACAAAUUUUUAAAGUUCACAGGAUGUGUAUGCUAUUGUAAAGUUUACAGGAAAAUAUUUUAAGUUGUCUUUAAAAAAGAAAAAAAAAAAAGAGGUGGCUUGGUCUACUGCACCAGGUCCAGCAAGCAACAGUGCCUCGUUUUCAAAUAUGAUUCGGUCCUUGACGAAUUAGGUGGGGGUUUGAAAAGUCAAAGUCAGCAACAAACGGGUCAACCACGCACGGCGACUUUGCUUCUACCCGAUAAUCCGGCCCAUCUAAAUUUCUAAAUUACCAUAAAUCUCUUCCUCCUCUUCAUCUGUCCAUGUCUCUGAAUUUACAAUAAACCAAUUCUCCCUUUUGGAUUACAACCUGAAAGGUAUUAAUUUUUUUUUUGUUCCUCAUAAUCUCUCUUUUUUCUUUUUCCUAUUUUACUUUGCUGAAUUAUUGAGAGAUAUUAUCUUGGCAAUUUUUUGAAAAAUUUAAUUAUUUACUCAGCAAGCUAGAUUAAUUGCUUGAUCUUACAUCCAUCAAGAGUAAUCUUAAACUGUUUACUUUUGAAUCAAUUUUUUGGAUAAUAUGUUAUCAGAGUAAGUUCUAAAGCCUAUUCAUUUAUGGCUAUUAUUUCGUUGUCUCUUUCAUUAUUUUCUCAGUUAGUUUGUGCAUGCAUAAUAGUUUAUCUAAUAUUCACCAUGCACGUGAAACACGAGCAUUCCUAGAAUGUAUAAUGAUUUAGGAUUUUGUUCCCUCAUUAAUUGAACAUUUGUCUUAAUCGCAUAUGGGUGCUAUUAGGAAGGCCUUUUAGGGAGGAGUUUGUAUGAUCAGUCUAAUUUUGAAGCAAUUGUAGAUUUAUCAAUGAAUUUCAGCAUGUUUUGUUACUUGAAUGAUAUUCUUGAAGUGCGCAGAAUUAUGAUUAAUUUCAGUCAAAUAGACAGAAAUGCUCAAAUAGCAAAAGUGGUAGGACUAAAUUAACUAAAAUUUUACCAACCAACGAUAAAUUUACAGUGUAUAUAUAUAUAGUUUCAUGAGUUCUUUCACUUUUUCCAGGUGAUAACUUUUACUGCCAUAUAUAGAAAACUGGUUUCAGAGAUCUUCUAGUGGUUCAGCUCAGUUACUGAAGAAUGUCUUACUUAAGAAGAUCAAGAAAAAGUGCUCCUGCGAAAGCCACGUCGUUGGAGGAGCAGCAAGCAAAGGUAGACACAUCUGCUUCAGCUUCGCCAUAUUGAGUAUCAAGUGAACCACAAACUUACAUGUCAAAACAAAUUGCCAUGAUCUUUUCUAUGCCUUAAGUAACUUCCAUGGCUUUUUUUUUAUAGAAUAUAAUGAUUGUAGUUCUAUAUCAAUCAGAUAAAUGAAGUUCGGAAGCUGAUAGGUUCUUUGGCUGAUCGUAUACCGAACUUCUGUUCAGAUGCUUGUAUAUCACGGUACCUGCGAGCCAGAAACUGGAGUGCAGAAAAGGCGAGUAAAAUGCUGAAAGAAACUGUAAAGUGGAGGCUCGAAUACAAGCCCGAAAGUAUCCGUUGGGUGAGCAAUCCAUAAUUUUUUUUGAAAUCUAUCAUCAAAUCGUUCAAUUUCGUAACUUAUGAUACUUUUUUUUUUUUUCUUUUCCACUGCGGUAACUCAUGAUACGUAAUCUGUAAGAAAUUAGCUCUUGAUGUUUAGCUAAGUCUGUUCAGUAUCAUUGUAGAGUUGGUUGAGAACACUGUUCUUUUUGGUGGAGUAUCAGUUGUAGAGAUGAUGCGAAUGUCGUGUUCCUUUAGAUCGACUAACAUAAGCACCUAAUUUUUACACUGAUCAAAUUUUAAGAACGAAAUUGACCGAGAUUCAAUCUGGGACGCAACAUCGCUAAAUACAAGACAUAUACCUUAGCAGUGUUACCUUGAGGGAGUUGAUGAUUAUGUUUCAUAACAUACUUGUUCAAAUUUUGUACAUUAUAAAAGUCGAAUCGAACUAAUUAUCUUAAACUAAUUCUGUACUGAUGUACUGUUUUUCACAAUUUUUAGGAUGAUAUUUCGCACGAAGCUGAGACAGGAAAGAUCUAUAGAGCUGAUUACGUCGACAAAUACGGAAGAGCUGUUCUUGUUAUGAGACCCGGAUUUCAGGUAGGAAAUUUACCAUCAAAGAAGGUCUUAAAUAUCAAGAAAUGCUCAUCACUGCUUCCAACUACCUUUGCACCUUUUCAUAUUUUGCUGCUGUUGUUGUAUCAGAAUACUACGUCGACAGAAGGGCAGAUCAAGUACUUGGUUUACUGCAUGGAGAAUGCUAUUCUGAGUCUGACGGCCGAUCAGGAGCAGAUGGUGUGGCUAAUCGACUUCCAAGGUUGGACGAUGGCGAGUGUGUCGGUGAAGGUGACUCGCGAAACUGCUCAUGUAUUGCAAGACUAUUAUCCCGAAAGGUUGGGGUUGGGGAUUCUGUACAAUCCUCCGAGGAUCUUCGAAUCUUUUUGGAAGGUAAAGAAUGUAGGAGAAUGCAGGAAAAAGGAAAUCAAAAUCUGCUUUUUGUAAUCUUACAUGUUGCAUAUUAUUGUAUUCUGACUAAGAUCAUUGUUACAGAUAGUGAAGCCUUUUUUAGACCACAAGACAUACAAGAAGGUGAAGUUUGUAUACUCCGACGACACCGAGAGCCAGAAGAUAAUGACCGAUCUUUUCGACGUGGACAAGCUCGAAUCUGCCUUCGGCGGUCGGAACCCCUGCGUGUUCGAUUUCGAUAAGUACGCAGAAAGAAUGAGAGAGGAUGAUAAGAAGAUGGAUGCUUUCCUGAACUCUGGUGGGUCUCUCCUGUCCCAGGAAAAGUCACUCAGUUCUCUGCUCCAAAAGACAGAAUCCUCAAUCUCCGAAGCGCUUUCGGAGGCCUCAUCUGAGGAUUCUUUCUCUAGUGCUACUGAAUCUCCAAAGCAAGAAGGAAUCAAAAGCCACUCAGAAAAUGGGAUGCAGGAACAUCACUGAUGCAAUGAAGCUACAGAAGCAGUUCAAAUUGACAAAAAAUCAGUUCUUCGAGCAGGACAUUUGACACUUUUAAGGAGGCUUCAUAUGAGCAAUAAGCACAAAUGCUAAUGCAAAUCGCGGAUAAUCUAUAAACAUCCAAUAAUUAAUUUACAGCAUUUCUAUCUAUUCAAGAACUACAGUCAAAAUUUUCAGCACUUGUCACGGGGUUAGCUUUUUCACCUUGAAAAUCCCCGCGCGACGCUCAAGUGUCGCACACCCGAGCCAGCCUUCUCGAGUCCUCUCCCUGGACAAGUCUCCCAGACUUAACAGCGGAAUACCAAUCCAAGCAUUUUGCCAAGCUUGCUCAUCCGCGAGACUUACAGCUCGGCCCUUCGCCUGUAAUCGAACCCCUCGUCGGACUCCUCGAGUUCCCAACGAGCAACCCCAAUACCGAGGUUGGCCACCAAGCUAGGUGCAUCUCGUCUUGCCAACCGAUCUCUCCUCGAGAGUGCUCCAUAACCGAAUGCCUUGUUGCCUCUAUCACUAGCCCCAAGGACAUUACAAGUUCUCCCCAACUUGUCCCAUAUGAGUAUAGCCAAGCGUUUCGCCUCCCACGCGUUUCGCUCCCGCGACUCGAUCCGCACGCCUCAAGCGUCGAGGUCCGGGCUUCGCGACAUCGCAUUAUAAUCUCAGUCCUUCCGCUAAAGUCGUUCAUAAAUAGUUACUUUCUUUUUUUUUUUAAAGAAAAAGUACCAUGCUACCACUUGAUUCAUCAGAUAAAUGAAUUCAAAUUAUAUAUUUAUUGUUGGUAAGUCAAAUUGUAACAAUUUUAAAGUUGAAAACCAAAAUGAAAUCUCUUGAAAGUUUGAGGGCAUUAAAUGCCUCUCACUUUGUUAUGGUGAGAUUCAAAGAAAAGAUUAUUUCAUAAGGAAUAUGAGAUGAGGUUCAACUCCCAACUCACUUGUAAGGUCAAUAACGGGCUUGUAAAUGGGCUGAAAUUGAAAACUUGGCCCACGACAAGUUCGCGACAUGGGCUAGGGCAAAAACAGUAGCUAAGGCCCGGCACGUUCCGCAAAAGUUGAAAAUUUUUUUUUUUUUUUUUGAGACGAUAAUAGGUAACUGAUCAACUGCUCUAGACAGUGAUUUUAAUUUGUGCUCGCCAAAUCAAUUCCAUUAAUAAGAUAACUAUUAUCUAGUAAUGUGGCAAUUUUGGGACCUCACGAACUCAUGAUCCCAAAAUUAUUAAACUUAUGAAUUUUGUUGUGGGUCCCGCAUGUGACAGCCACUAGAAACUAUCCCUUGUUGGACGGUUAACUUGUCCCCGGUUGGGGCCCGGAUCGAGAUCUUUACACGGACCUAAAGCCAUCCACGUCAUCCUCAAAGAACAUCUCGGGAUUUGGAGCCACGGUACACAAAUUUUUUCUCCAAUUGGGUGCGUUUUCCGGAACCCACAUGCACGUGUGGGCCCACGUGGCACCCAAAGCCCAAGACCAAUAAGGCCCACCAAAGGGCCCAUUAUGUAUUCGGAGUUAUUUACCACGGUUCACAUAAAUUGUAAAAAUUAUAUCAUAAACGAGUCAUUUAAACUAAGUAAAUUAAAAUUUUUGUCUUAUAUUUUUUCCACUGUAUGUUACACAUCCUCUCGCAUUAAAAAAAGAAAAAGAAAAAAAAAAGGCUAAAUCCUCACCAUAGCUUAUAUAGGGACAUGUCACAUGUUAUAGGUCAUGGGAUUUCCGUAGCCUAGUACCAUAUCCCUUCCGGAGGAGAAGUUCUACACUGUUACGUUUGCACCACGUCAUCAAUAAUAAGUCAAUCACAUAUCUUCUUUACAAACAAAAGUACAAUAAAAAUAUUUUUUUAUAAUCAUGAUGGGACAUAUAUUUUUAAAAUGAGUUAUUUGAUUGGUUUGUGACGCCACAUCACCAAUAUACCCGGUGUAUUCUAGAAUUUUCCCUUCCCGAGGUGGAACUAGCAUGGAUUGGACGGUUGAGAUCGAUUUAGGAGCAUCACGGUCAAUCACACAGUGUGGGUCCAUUCCAAGGAGAAAUUAUUCUAUGCACUCGGUGUAUAAGUGCAUCUCAUACACCACAGUUCUAAAACCUUUAUUAUAAAAGCCUUAAAAAUAUAAUAAAUUUUACGGCAUUUGAAAAGCCUAUGUAUUAAUAAAUAUAGUUCGAAUAUUUUUUUAAUUUUAAAACUAUAUAUAUAUAUAUAUAUAUAUAUAUAUAUAUAUAUAUNAUAUAUAUAUAUAUAAUCCACCUUUGAACUUUGUAAUAUGCUUCCAAUAUUACAUAUAUACCAAAACUAUAUAAGUUUUAAACUUAAAUAUUAGUUAUUUAAUAUGGAGUGCAAUACAUGAGAUGCACAUACAAUAAUUUAAAAUAAAACUAUAUAAAUUAUGUAAAAUAAUCAUUUCUCUCUAAAAAAAAAAAUAUUUUAUUAUUUUAUAAUCGAUCAUAGGAAUGCACCGAUCGAGUGUAGUUAAUAGUUUUUUAUUCCAUGGACCCUUUUUAUUUGACCUUGGUUACAUGACCAUAAUAUUUUAGGCUCGUUAGAUGUGACCGGGAUCGAUCUACUUGGAGCUCCUGUAUCCUUAAUUAAGCCAUAUUUUAUGGGAAUUUUGGAAUAACUUUGGGCAUAUGGAAUUUAAUUAGACUAAAUUUGGCUCCCAAAUUAUAAGAUGCGUGACAUUUUGAUUAUUAAAUUUUAAUUUAAUUAUUUUUUAAAAAAUAAAUUAUUAUAAUUGAGUUUUAUAUUCAAAUUUAAUUAAUUACAUUUUGACGUGUCGCUCAUAGAGAAGCGAUAUGAUACUUUAUUUAUUGUCAUAUUAUCGAUCAUAAUAUUGUACAUUAGUUAAUAUUUGCUAUACAUUAAUAUUUAGACAACUAAAUUGAAUUUAUAGAACUUGGUUAUAACAAUUUAGAAAAUUUGAAAAUAAAAUUAUCAUAAAAUUUAAAUCUGAAAAUCAGAGCAUCACCUGUAUAAUGGUUUGAGGACCAAAGUGUAAUUUAGCCAAUUAAUCAUGGCUAAAAGGGUCAUUUGAGUUAGAUCCAAAGUAACGGAUUUAAGAUAUGGACAUAGAUAAGAUAACACUAUUUGAAAAUAACACCUACUAACGUGCUUCUCUUUGUAUCUCAUGUUAAACAAUAUUUUAUCAAAGUCUACACUCCCUCUUUUGUGUGUUUGUGUGAGAGAGACGAGAGAGAGAGAGAGAAAGAGAGAGAGAGAGAGAGAGAGGGAGAUAUAGUAAUCCUAAAAGUGGCAAUUACAGUGGCCACUCGAUUAAGUACUAUAUAGUAUAUAUAAUAUGUAACAAUGUUGAUUACUAAGUCAUUGGAAUCAAUUAAGAGCUAGUUGUAUAAUAAAGUGUGUGUGUGUGUGUGUGUAUAUAUAUGCUAUAAACCUCGAUAUAUAUAUACAUUUUGUUUGUUCGCCUUUUUAGGAUGAUUCGUAUCCUUCAUGCAGAUUCACCGAGUUUCCCAUAAUUUAGGAUACAUAUCAAUAAAGUGCUAUUGUUCACUGGAUUAUGUAUCUUUAAAAAUUUAGAUUUUUUUUUCAUGCAUAAGGUUUUUAGGUCACCAUGCAUAGGGUAGCAUUGUUGGAUGAUAUCUUUUGUUGCUCUCCAUUUAGAUAAAUGUAUUUGUGAAAUGACAUUAAUCUAAAUUAACAAUUAAGUUCCUUUUAAUCGCUUCCACAUGUGAAACUAUAAUACUUAACUACAAUUAAAGGGCUCAGGAUCAUUCUAAAAAAGUAUAAGCUAUUAGGUGGAGACGCUCUCUAUAUUGUAUACAAAUCAAAAUUUCACUUCAUAUUCAAUAUGAGACUAUUAUUCUUAAUAACUAUCAUAUAACUAUCUAAUUUUCUAUGUAGAUUUAAUUAUUUCCAAAUUUGAUCUGAAAAGCUAAUAUGUCUCACAUGAUCAAUAGAUUUUGUUAGCAUCAAUUAAGAAACUAAAUUGCCACCGCUGAGCUCUCAUUUAGGCAUAACUAAUUCAAUUCUGAAGAUCAAGAAGAACAUUGUAAACCCUUUUUGUUUAGAUUUAUUCGUCUUUUUUUCCCCCCUCAAUUAACAGGCUCAAAUGUGGAUUUAUCCUCACUGAAUUUGGAGAACAUACAUAUUACCUCCCCUCCAGGCUCCAAAUGUUAUGCCAUGCAAAUAUAUUCUCCAUUUAUAUCAGGUUAACUUUCAAGCCAAUGUCCUGAAAAUUAAGGCCUGUUUAUCACAAGGAUUUUCCUAUUUAUAUUGUAUCUUAUUUUUGCCACAUGAAAGGUAAUAAUUUGUAAAAAUAACUCAUAGGUUCUGUUUAUUCUUCUGUUUUUUUGAAAGAAAGGGAGCAUGCUACUCGCUUUAUUUAUUUUUUUUAGAAAUAAAUUUAGCUGAAAAUGCAAAUCAACUAGGAUUCGAACUUAGAACCUGGGGUUCCGUUUAAUAUUACAGUUUAUAAUAUUUGGAUAAUUCUAUAUGCUUGCUAUUGAAAAUAUUCAAAUCAUUACAUUUCAAUUUAAGUUGGAUGGUGAUAAAAAAAAGAGCCCGUAAAUUAGUAAAAUUGUUGUACAUUUGUAAGUGUUAGUAAUACUAAAUUAUCAUGAAGUAUAAGAUAUGCUUAUUUUCAUACUUAAUAAACUUAUUAGUAGUUCAGUAAUAAAAAUAUAUUAGUUUUUAACAAUCUUUCAGCUCAAGUGACUGGAUAAGUUAGUAAUAAACUUGAUAUUUUAAAUACAAAAUAUACAACAUUUGGUAAUAUUACAAAUCUUGAAUGAAACGGACUGGUUCCACGGUUCCACCAAAUAAAGAAAUAGUGAAGAAAUAGUGAUAUAACACUUACAUUUAAAAAAGCUCUCUAACAGCAAAUUUAUAUAUUUAUGCUCGUACUCAGUAUAUGGCCCUCCUAAUUUUAAAUUAUCAUCAAGCCUACAAACCAACAUAGCUAACACCAAAUCUACUUAUUAACGCAUGAUAACUCCCCAAAUGAACCGGCCGGUCUACUUCGCCCGAGCCGGACCGAGUAUCCGAACCGAGCGAAGCUCCCCGGCUUUCCCGUUCGCAGUAACCCUCCCCGGCUCGGGCCCGAAUCGGACCGGCCCGGGCCCGACGGAGACCGCCUCGUCAGACCGGCAGCUGAGCAGCGACAUCCUGAACCGGUCGCGCUCGGCCGGAUCGAACCGGAGCUCCCCGGGGGCCGAGCCGGUCCGGUCGAGCCCCGGCGGCUCCGCCGUGGCCACGCUCCACACCACGCUGGCCUCGCUCGGCGCGUACGCGCACUCGCUCGCCGCCGCGCCGCCGAGGCGCCGCCGCGGGUCGAGGAGCUCGUCGAGCGAGCCGCGUUGGCGCCGCUGCGCGGAGAAGCUCUCGAGCUCGAAGAGGUCCGAGCUCGCGUCGCUCGCCGCGUCGUCGGGCGCCGCGGCGGUGGGGGCGUUCUCGGGCGCGCGUGGCCCGUCGACGGAUCCUCUCUCCGCGCUGUUCACCAUCCUACGCCCGAUCUCCGCUAGUAAAAGUGGCUUCUUUGCGUAGUACAACGUGGAGCGGUGGGUAAAGUUGUCACCUUUGGGCCAAUUCCCGGGCGUUAUCCUCACCUUCAUCCCCUCCUCGAAACCCACUUCGCGCUUCGUCUCUCUAUCACCAGUAGCUGCGACGCGUACGGUGGUCUCAACGCUCUGUUUCGAGUUCCCGUAAACGGAGCUCGGCCGAAGCGGGCUCUUCGGCUCGGAGAACUUCUCGGCGACUUCGACGGCGCCGCCGCCGCCGCCGCCGCCGCCGCCGCAGAAGCAGCUGCGGCGGAAGAGCCGCCUCCCGACGGCGGCGUAAUUGCCCUUCCGCGGGCCCUUCAACGGAAACGCGGCGACGGAGCGCGGCGCAUUGGCGAGGAGCCCCGAGUGGCUGUUCCAGCUCGCCACCGACGAGGCGGUGGGGGUGCCCGCCGACUCGUUUCGGUAAAUUCGGCCGUAGCCGUCGACGGAGGAGGGGCGCGGGCUGGCCAGGACGGCGGGGCGCUUCGUGGCGGAGCUGCUGUGGCCGGCGCCGUAGUAACGCUCGGCGCCGAAGAUGCCGAGUUCGGCCUCUUCGGUGCGGCGAAGGCGAAAGAGAGGGGGCGAGGAGAGGGAUGGCGGAGGAGGUUUGGAUAGGUUGGUGGGCUGGGGAGGAGAGAGGUGCGUGUGGCAUGUUGGGGUGAUCCUGUAUCUAUCCAUGGUUACUUACGCUUCUGUUCGUGUGAGAGAAGAGGAAUAUGGGUGGGGGAGGAGGAGGAAGAAGAUGAAAGUGAGUGCAACUUCUAGGGGGGCUGUAUAUAUAUAUAUAUAUACUUCUCGGAGGUUUGGAAUUGCGCUACUCUGCGUUGGAUUAGGAAAAUUACAUCUGGAAAAGAAAAGAAAAUAAAAUAAAAGAAAAAAAAGAUUACGAGGGAUUCGCAUUUGAUUUGGGUUUGAGCACAUGAUGCACAUCGACAAUAGAUGAGACGUUUAGUGAGGAUCAUCAUCUGUAAAAGUUUUCUUACGGCGUGGGAUUUGUUUAUUAUUUGCAUGGAAAAUGCCUAAGCUACCCCUCUUGUGAGUACCGUUCUUACCACUAUAUUGGACGGAUUCACAUUACAUCAAGUUAGUAUACACGCAUGAUUUAUUAGCAUGCUACAACUGUAAUAUUUAAUUAACUGCACACCUUUUAUAAUUUAUACACAGCAAUGGUAAUCCUACAAUCACUCCUGAUUGUAAUUCUACAUUUGUAGCAUUCAACUGCUCAUAUUUCUCUUCUACUCUUAUAAUUUUUCAUUUAUUAACAAACUUUUAAAAAAGUAAAUAAAUCCUAGGAAAUAGAAUUAAAGAAAAAAUUAUAAUUCUUUUUGAAUUGUACACUUAGCAUAUCUCUUUUGUGUAUGUCAUCAGCUAUCCAGUAGACGUAAACAUGCAUCCCAGGAGCGUGACAUAUUUGGCCUUUGAGUAAUCUAUAUAAUAACCAUAUAAUACACCUCUUCAAAUUUUCUCAAACUAUUUAUCUCAACUGCAAAAUCAUAAACUCCCAUAGAAGCUAUUUUUAAAUUUUUAAAUCAUAUUUUUCGCUUCUCCCCGCCAUAGAAGCUUUAGCCUUUUUUAAGAAUCAAAUAAUUUACGCAAAAAAAAAAAAAACUGCAGCUACAAAUACAAAUAGAAAUACCAGUUCGAAGUUUGCCUUUUGUUUGACUCCCUGGUAGAGAGAGAGAGAGAGAGAGAGAGAGAGCGGGAGAGAACAAAACUUAAGGGAGGGAUCAACCCACAAGCGAUUGUUGAAGCCACGCUGCAAAAUUACAACAAAUUGGAAAAGUGAUUAGGGCACAUUUCUCUUCCAUGCACAACAGAAACAUUAUGCUACUGAUCUGAUAUGCAAGAGUGACCAACUUAUGCUUCAAUAUCAAUAAGCAACACACACAGAAUUAUUAUUAUGAUCCAUUAUUACGACAGCCCAUGAGCUUUGAAGCUUUUUAACAUUCUUUCCGAGCAAAGAUAACAGAGUACAUCUUCCUAAAAGUGCUUCACAGAAAAGAUAAAGCUGAUAAAACAGUUUAACUUCUCAACAUGACCUCCCCAUGUUCGGAGGGUCCAAGAAUUGAUCCCUAUCAUUCUUAAUGGGCUGUGAUUGGCCUGGCAACAACCGGGUCGAGCCCUCUCAGACUCGGCUGGGCCUGAUUAACAGCCUAUUCGGCCCAACUUCUUCUUUUGCUGAGCAACAGGAGUCUCUCUAAACGAGAAAACUAGAUUCUGACCCUGAAAACAGAAGCUUUAAUACACUGCUCUUCAUUCUACUGUAGAAAGACCAUCUGAUAGCACCAUUCAAACAAUACUUUAUCAAACAAACUACACCCUACAGUAAGGCCUAAUAGGUGCUAAAAACGGGCGAAGGUCGUGAUGGCACGCUGGUGUCACCAUCAACCACUGCCAAACAAAAACUCUGUUGACGUUCUUUGUGUUGUGUGCUGGAGAUACUGUUACAUUUCUCCCGGUGCUAGCUCUAAAAUAAAGCAACAAAAUACCUAAAAUGGACUAAAAUGUAGCAAAUCACUGUAAUAGCAAAAGAUUACAUGCAGUCACUUCCGUAAUGAACUAAAAUAAUUGUGAAUUGCUUUAUUAGAUCCUAUAUUCACGCAAGCCCGCCGAAAAAGAUCCCUAUUAGAGGACCAGAAAUUAGAGAAUUCAACAAGAACAUACAAAAAUGCAGACUUUAUAUGAUGAAUAGCCCGGUGGAGCCCUCUCCAUAACGAUUAAUUAUCAGAUCAAACAGUUGAUUAAUCUAGAAUAACUUCCAACAGCCAACAAUGACAGCUUACCAGAGAAGUUGGAUCACUAAAUAUUCUCUGAUUUGAAUAGUUGCACCAUAGUGGACAGCAACAGAUCUGGAGGAUGUAGCGAACUGCGUACAUGUUAUCGCUUGACCCAUUGGAAGCUCUUCCUGGCUUUUGCCUUCCCGGGCUUUUUCCUCUCAACCACACGUGCGUCUCUUGUCAAAUAUCCAGCUGCGUGAAAGCACAUGCAAUAUGUCAUUAACUUCAAAAGUCAUAAAUGAUUUCAGCCUUAGCAGAUACAUUCAUUCAACUACUUAGUGUUGGAAACGCAAAACAAGGAUUUAGUUGGAUUUAUAUUAGAAAUGCAUAACAAGAAAUGAUAAUCAAGAUUCAAUGAUAAUGGAUUUGAUUUUCUAGUUUACCUGCUUUGAGGUAUGGCCGGAGCCCCGGUUCCCAAUUUUGCAAGGCCCUGCUGAUUCCCAAGCGAACUGCUCCUACCUGACCUGCAAAUGAAGCAAAGCAAUCUCAUGUCAAGUGACAAUGGAAUGUUCUAUCAUAUAAUCAGGAAAUCUUAUAUUACAAUGUUUUCGUUUGCAGCAUGCAAACAGAAGAGCAGCAAAGUUGUUAAAGCAAAUACAUCUAAAUUCUCUUAAGCGAGAAUGUGUCCACAACACUGGGAGAAUACAAAGUGAACCAGUUUUCUACAAGCAAUACUGUCAGAUGCCGCAAUAUUCACAAGGAAAGAAAGGGUUCACGUAUCAAAUAUUAGAAGUGGAUCACUUCGCUAACAAUACUCGGUAACCUUCUCUAUAUAAUAUUGUUGGAGAAGCUAAAAUGGCAACGUCACCUAAUCACAGAUAAGUAGAUUUGUUUUUCUAAAUUGGAUCAACAGUAAUAAUAAGAGAAUUAAAUUUACACUAUAAAAGCCCACAGUUAACAGGGCAUUUCAGAAAUGCAUUUACCAGUUCCAGGCAAAUCAUUUAAAGAGCUGUUUACAAUAUUUGAUUACUUUACCUGAGACACCACCGCCUUUGACAGUGCAGUUUACAUCCCAAAGACCCAAGGUCUUUGUCACUGUAAAUGGACGAAGUAGUUCAGCUCGAUGAUCCAGAAUUGGAAAGUAAGCAUCAAACUGCUUAUCGUUCACAACGAACUUCCCAUCCCCAGGCUGAAUCCAGACACGGGCCACACUGCAUUUCCUUCUUCCAGUCCCAUAAGCCCUUCCUUUCUCAUCAACUUGUCUUACACGUGCUUGCGCAAUUUCCUCCUGUUUCUUCCUCUCAAUUUCAGCUCUGCUGGAUGUUGCAUUCAAUCUUGCUAUAGCUUUGUCUUCUAUUUCUCUCAAAGGAGGUAGCCCUGGAACAUUUCUGACAUCCUUUAAGAGGAUCAAACUGUCUAUCAUAUCCUCGGUGAUUCCAGAUGCUGCAAUUAGAUCUCCGAAAGCCCGAUUUGGACCUGAAAUUUUUUUAAACAAAAUAAAUAAAUGAUAACUCAAAAAAGAAUCUUUGUAUACCAUAACCGAGCAAUGAGAUACAUCAUCAUAUAGCUUCUUCAUUCCAUAAAUAUUUAUACUAUUAAGGUCAGGUCAGCAAGAUUCAAAGUUCUCUCUAUCAAGUUUUGGAUACAUGAUAUAUGCACGACGUACAAAUCAAUAGUCUAGCUGCCACCACUUCUGCAGGUGACUUGUGUAGCCAGUCAAACUACUUAUGUCCAAUUAAGUUGGCACACUGCCCACUUUCAAGUGUGAAGCAAUAUUGUACAGAAGCAAGUGUUCAAUGCUAAAUAAGUAAAAUUUGACCUCGAAGAUACAAUUUUCUUCUAUAUGAUAAAUAAAAUUAAAAACUAUAGAUUUGUUUUGCAGCAAAUAAAAAGAAAUAGAAAGGAUAAACAAUAUUGUUGUCCAGCGGCUCGGGUAAUGAAAAUAAAUGUCACUUUCUGUUCCAGAGUUAAGUGUUUAAGCAACAAUUCACACCGUGAUAAUAUCAUUUUUGUUCAUGAUAGAACUUUCAGAACAAUAAUAAUAUUGACCUAAAACUAGAAAUGUAUUGAUUUGGAACAUACGCUUAAUCAUUUCACUUUUUAUCCAGCAAAACAGAGGCCUGCUUACAAAGCUAAAGUAAUUAACAACUAGCAAGAUUCUUGCUUCACUAAAUAUCAGAUGUUUAUAUAUCUAUAUUUUCCCAGUAGAACACUGUAAAGUCAUAAGACUGACUAAGAAACAUCAGCAUAUACCAACAAAAUUUGAAGACCCCUUAAAGGUAAGGAAAAAAUCUAACAAAUCCAUAACACCAGUCUCGGAGAAACUAGAAAGGAAGUUCUUUUUGAUGAGCUUAUGUUUCCUCAAAAUAAACUUAUAGGACUGUCAACCAACCUAUGGAAACCCAUAUAUAAAUCUAAGAGUUGCCUCCCUAUCUAUAGGUUCAUUUCAGAACUUCAAACAAGUAUACUUGGAUCCAAUACAAUUCUAGAAGGAUCCUGCAAAGGCUAGUACACUACUGUUGCUGUCUAAGUUGCUAAGCUUUAGAACUAUUCAGUCAGAUAGCAUAAGCAGAAGCAGAUAGCAUGAGCUCUCCUCUCCAGAUUCUCAUCCUGAUAUCCAAUAACUACCUUUAUAUAUGAAGCUUUGAAGAUCCUUGUACGUCUAUUUGCAUAUAUGUCAAAGAAUUUUCUCAUGUAAACAGAAAAGGCAGAAUAUGGUUCAUCUACCCGACCUAUCAUAUACUUCAUCAUACAAACAAUGUUUACAACAGAUCAAAUUAUUACAAGGUUCGCAGAAGUUCAUCUAAGCGAAGUACCUUUGAGCGUCUCUAAGAGCUCUUUCUCCCUCUCUUCCAGUUUGUGCUUCUCAUCGGCGACGUCCUUCUCAGCCUCCUCAAUCUCCCCGCCAUCGAUCCCUUCGAUCCCUCCCUCUCCUAGCUCUUCAGCGCCGAACACAUCGCCCGUCUCCUCAUCCUCCCCCAAUGUCCACGGCUUGUACCCCUCAACCGUUCCCCACUCUUCCUCUCCGACGCCUCCCCCUCCCUCCUUCGAGGCGACCUCCCGAUCAAUGUCCUCGAACACAUCGCCCUUACCGUCCGCCGCAGCGCCCUCCGCCCACGGAUCACCGCUUCCGCCGGUGAAUCCCUUCACGGCGUCCUCCGCCGCCUCCGAUCCGAAGGCCUCCUCGCCGCCCUCGGCGAUCUCGCCGAAGACGGAGUCGACCUCGUCGGACUCCGGAGAGAGCUUCCAGGUGCCGUCGUCGUCAUCGCCCCCGUCGCCUCGAGAGGCCGAGUAGAAUCUCAGCGAUCGGAGGAGGAAGCUUCGAGUCGGGUCGCGACCAGAGAAAGGGAGGCGAGGAUUGGGGCGUGGCGGUGGAGGGAGGAGAGAGGAGGAAGAGGAGGACGAGAAUAGGGUUAGGGUUUGGAGGCGGAGGGGGAGUGGCCGGGAAAAGAGUCGGCGGAGCAUCGUGGGAGGAGGAGGAGGAAGAAGACCAUUUAGCAGGUCUAGGGUUUUAGAGGUUUUCUUCCGUUGGGUUCUAUUAACCUCUACAGUAGUGUAGAUGGACCCGACCGGAUUUAACACUAAGCCCGCUCAAAUCAUAGGUAAAAUCGUAAUGCAAUAACGAAAUAAGUCAGUUAGUCAGGUUAACUCUAACCGUCCUAUCAACUGAUGCAGAUCACAAUUAUGGUUCGAUACUUACUUCUAGUUAAUUCUAACAAUGUUCUUGGAAAGUUUGAAAAAAAAUUUAAAGGCAUACAUGAAUCAGCGUCCAAACACAAGAUGUUUUAAAGAAAAUAGUAAGUAAUAUGUGUCAGAUCAAGUAAAUUGUCAGAGCAAAAGUUCAAUUUGCAUACGGUGAAAUUAAUUAGACUUGGCAUAAUAAAUGAGUAUAUUAGAGGAGAGAUUAGAGAUCAAAAUUAGAAAAAUAUGCAUAAAAAGAGUAGAAAUCAAUAACGCAAUUAGUCAUAAAGAUUAAGAAUUUAAUUAUAAAUAUAAAAAAAAAAUUAGGAAGCAAAAUUGAAAAAUGAAGUAAAAGUUGGAACCCAUGAUGCAAACGAACUUCGCUCGGACAUGUUUUCGCGGUAGCUACGGCUCUUCCCACUCGUCAAAGUCAACAUGACUCUCUCGCCUCUUCUCCCCCUCUUUCCCCGACUUCAUCUUCUCGCUCUCACUCCUCCCGAGCUCCGCAGCAAUGGCGACGCUACGCACGCUACUGCGAGAGCUCUUCUCUCUCGCGACCUACAUGAGCCCUCUCGUGGAGAAGGUGGCCGAGGCCGCGGUGGACCUCGGCCGCGCCGGCGCCGCGUCGGCGUUGGGCUCCCUCUCCGACGUCCUCUCGGUGGACUCCAAGCUCGAGGAGCUCCGCCGCAUCGUGGGCCGCAUCCACGCCCUCCUCAGGGACGCCGAGGAGACCCGCUUCGUCGAGGACGCCGCCGUGCGCAACUGGCUCCGCGAGCUCGGCGGCGUCGCCCUUGACGCCGACGACGUCCUCGACGAGUUCCGAACCAUAGUCGACGCCCAGAAGCUCCGGAUCGACGAUCGGCGCCGGAAGCGGAAGAGGCCCUGGUACGAUCUCUCCUCGUCCUGUUACCCUUGUGUCGCAAAUCUCCUCCUCUUGGUCCAAAGAUGGAAAAUUUCGACCAAAAUAGUGGAAAUUAUGGAGAUUUAUGAUGGGGUUUGUAAGGGUAGGGAGAAUCUCCAGAUGAAGGAGGGCGAUGCGACGCGGAGGGCCAUGCGGAGGGGAAAUGAAGGCGAUGCGCUCUUGGCGCCCGCGGGGUCUCUCGGCGGCGAAGUCCGGGUUGUGGGAAUGAAUCAAGAGAGGGAGAGAGUUGCUGAGUUGCUGAAUUCGAUGGAUGAGGAUGCAAUUUCCGUAGUUUCGGUUGUCGGUGCCGGAGGAACGGGGAAGACGACGCUCGCGAGGCGCGUCUUCGGCGAUGAAUCUGCAGACCAGCUGUUUGAUCUGAGAAUUUGGGUCGGCGUUCCUCGCGGGUGCGACGUCGAGAGGGCCACAGGAGAGAUAAUUGAGGCGAUAACGCGAGAGAGUUGCUGUAGUAAAAGCUUGGACUCACUGCAACGGCUCCUCGGGGAGCUUGUGAACGAGAAGCGCUUCUUGCUCGUGCUCGACGAUUUGUCGAACGAAGACCUCUUCUUCUGGGAGAUAUUGCGAGCUCCUUUGCUGAAAGGAAAGAAAGGAAGCAAAGUGCUAGUAACUACAAGGAGCAAUGUGGUCUCGCGGAACAUGCGGUCGUCGCACCCCAUCCACUUAACCGGUCUCAGCGAGGAUGAUUGUUGGUUGAUUUUUCGUGAGCACGCGUUUGAUCAGGGAGUUUGGGCUCAGCACCCGAAUUUGGAGCUAAUCGGACAAGAAAUUAUCCGCAAGUGUCAGCACUCGCCUCUGGCGGCCAAAUCGAUUGGUGGACUAUUGUAUGGUAAUACCGAUGAAGAGGAGUGGAGAAGUGUUCUAGGUGAUUUGCCUGAAACUGAAGAAGAUGCGAACAAAAUCCUGUUGACUUUGAAGGUGAGUUACGAUUACUUGCCGUUUCAUCUGAAACGAUGCUUCGCGUUCUGUUCUGUAUUUCCUAGCGGCCACGAAUUUGAUCGAGAUGAGCUGGUCAAGUUGUGGAUCGCAGUAGGUUUUAUCAAGCCCAGGCGGAACAGGUCGUUGGAGAACAUUGGCGGCAAGUAUUUUGAUUACUUACUGUGGAGAUCAUUUUUCCAGAUAUCCAAUGGUCGUAACCAAUCGAAACCAAAGUUUAAAAUGCCGGGCCUAAUCCAUGAGUUAGCGCAGUCUGUUUCUGGGUGUGAUUGUUUUAGAUUGGAUGAUGAUGCAGUGAACGAUGAGCCAGAGAAUGCUCGCUAUUUCUUAUCACGUACAAGCAGUAUGGACGACACAGCUUACUAUAAAAUUUACAAGAAUACAAGUUUACGGGCUUUAGUACUUCAGAAUGCCGAGAAUUGUGUAACCGCCGCGCCAGUCCGAGAUGAUUUAUUCUUGAAUCUAAGAUAUUUGCGUGCCUUAGAUUUAAGCGACAAUGGAUUGACAGCAUUGCCAGACUCGGUUGGUGAUUUAAUUCACCUUCGGUACCUCAAUCUCCACAGAACACAAAUAGAGAAGUUACCCGAAUCAAUAUGCAACCUCUAUAAUCUUCAAGUAUUGGAGCUGGGUGAGUGUCGGAAUCUUGCAGAGCUACCGAAAGGCGUGAGAAAUCUAAUUCACCUAAGGCAUCUGGGAUUGCAUCUGGACUGGGCGGGGCAAAGAAGUAAUUGGACUGAUUUGAUUUCCAUGCCGCCAGGAAUCGGCAGUCUAACUUCUCUUCAAACGUUGUCGAGGUUUAGUGCGUCCUCUGAGAGCGCAUGCAGUAUCGGGCAGUUAAAGAAUUUGCGAAAUCUCCGAGGAGAGCUGUGCAUCUCGAAGCUCGAAAAUGUGCUCGAUGAAAAUGAAGCCAAAGAAGCCAAUUUGAGAAAUAAGCCUUUUGUUGAUGCUGUUAUGCUGCGGUGGAGCGAGGGGGGAAACGGGAGCUUCUCUACUUCAGGAAGCCGGCCAGGAGAAGUGCUCGAACACUUGUGCCCUAGCACCAGACUCAAGUACUUACAGAUAGAGAACUAUAACGGCGCGAGAUUUCCGAAUUGGCUCGAGGAUCCAUCCUUUUCAUCUUUAGAGACGCUGCGACUCUCCAACUGCAAACAAUGCGACACCCUCCCGCUCGUCGGGAAGUUGCCCAAACUUAAACAUCUCUACUUCGAAGGACUACAUGGAUUAAAACAUAUGGGCCAUGAUCCUUUCAUUGGAUUUCCGUCACUGGAGAUGCUCUACGUUUCGGACAUGAGUACAAUGGAGAGCUGGUACGAAGUAGGAGAAGGCGCAAUGCCGCGCCUUAGGAAACUCGUCGUCUCAAAUUGCCCGCGGUUGCACGAACCGUUUCAGCUCGCAAACUCGCUUCAAAGGGUCGAAAUAAGAGAUUGCCCGAUGAUCACAGCACUGCCGCAGGAAAUGCCGGUCUCGCUCGAGCAUUUGGCCAUUACCGGAUGCCCCGCGCUGCAGCAAAGUUGCCAGAUGGAUGGAUCUGAGUGGCCCAAGAUACAGAACAUCCCUCAUAAAGCAAUUGGUUGAGAUUUUGAAUCAUAUACCUUGUAUGGCAAUUUUUCUAUUUUACUCAUUUGUAAUGAGUAACAUUUCAAAUUUCGCCAUUUAAUUAAUGCUUGAUGUAACAGCGAUGUAGCAGAGUUGAUAAUUUAGCUCUUGUAAUGCGACAGUUUGUUCAUGUUGUGGUUAAAAUAGCACCAUUUUUUUAUUUUUUCUAUAAAAUAAAAAUAUCUAAUUAGUCAUCAUUAUGUUUGUAUAAUUAGAAAGUAACAAUAUUUAUCUCCUGUUGUGAUACUGACAUGUGGACCCCACGUGUCAUCCUCAGCAUUGGGCCAACGGCCCAAAACCAUCAAAAGGCGAGCGCACGAAUCGGUACCGUCCGUUGGGUCCGUAAUUUCCAUUGGACAACAGCGUCGUUAAAUAUAAGUUAUUUUGACUUAUUUAAGUAUUAAAAAUUUCAUUACACUUGAUAUAAUUUCAUUAACUAUAAGUUCUUAAUUAUUUCAAUCUUUAUUUACUGGAAAAUAACUAAAACUAUUAAAUUCAAUAAUCUUAUCCACUAGUUUAAUAAAAAUUUCAAGCUAUGUUAAUUGAAGGGUCUCCGUUUUUUUUUUUUUUUUUUUAAACCAUGAAUGAAACAAACGAACACGACGAAGCUCUCUCCGCCUCACUCGAUCCCGCUUCUACAGUUUAGACCCGAACACUACGGGGUGAGAGAGAGAGAGAGAGAGAGAGAGAGAGAGAGAGAGCAUAAGCUGUAUGAGAACAACGACAACAACAACAUGAUAAAAACUCUAUCUUUUUCCCCCAACCAUCGUGUUCUACGAUCCAGAGAUUAGCGGUUUCUGUGUUCUAUGAAGAAUUUGGGCAAAUGGGUGUCGAUUGGUUUCAUGUUUUAGCCAAUUCUCUCUGUAAAAAUUUGAUUUUUACGUCAAAAAUUCCGCAGAGAAUGCUUGCGUGAUGAUCCGAGGCUAAAAAUGGCCGAUAGGAGCACACAAACGCUAGGGAUCGUUUGCCCUAGACCCUUCUUCUGGCUCUUCGCCAUUGCCGCGCUCUUGUUCUUCGUCUCCUGGUUCCUCCUCCUUGACUCGACCUCUCCUCCGCAUUUCAUCGAACACAUGGUUCCCAAUCCAAAGCCCUCUUUUAAUUCAAAGACCCGAGAAGCCGAUUCGUCUCUACACAACGCACACUCUUCGUUUUCGGAUAGUAAUGGCCCCCGAGAGCACGAAACCGCGGAGUGCGAUUCCAAUAAUGCGCUUUUGAAGGUGUUCAUGUACGAUUUGCCGCCGGAGUUCCACUUCGGCUUAUUGGAUUGGAAGCCGAAGAAGGCCGGAAUCGUGUGGCCGGAUCUCGGAGAAGUUCCGGACUACCCGGGUGGCCUAAACCUUCAACAUAGUAUAGAGUAUUGGCUCACAUUGGAUCUCUUGAAUUCUCGAUCGAGAUCCGGACCGUGUGUUGCCAUAAGAGUUCUCGAUUCGCGCGAUGCCGAUGUAGUGUUUGUUCCAUUCUUUUCUUCGGUGAGCUUCAACCGCCAUUCGAAAGUUUCCCCGCCCGCGAAAGUUAGUAGGAAUAAGUUGUUGCAGGAUAAGUUGGUGGAGUUCUUAACCUCGCAAGAGGAGUGGAAGAGAUCGGGGGGCCGAGAUCAUGUAAUUUUGGCUCAUCAUCCCAAUAGCAUCUUUGAUGUGAGGUUGAAGUUGUGGCCUUGUAUGUUCAUUCUCUCUGAUUUCGGGCGGUACCCGCCGACCGUGGCCAAUGUGGAGAAAGAUGUGAUUGCGCCUUAUAAGCAUGUGAUUGGUAACUACGUGAACGAUUCGGCCGGGUACGAUGAUCGACCGACUUUGUUGUAUUUCCAAGGCGCCGUUUAUAGGAAAGAUGUAAGUGAUUUGCCAAUUUUCGUUGUCUCGAUCAUAAAUUCUUCCUUUUUUUCGUUCAUUUAACUUGUUAUCUAUGAAUCGAUACUCAUGCCAAAUCAACUUUAGGUGAUAUAUUAGUGAAAAUUUUAAGUGGUAUGUCUAGGAUAACACUUGCGGAUGCUCUUAAGCAAUUCAAGCAUAAAGUGAAGUUCUAAAAACUGCAAUUUCUUUUACUCAUUGAAAUUCUCAUAUCGCAAACUCAUUCAGGGAAUAACCUUAUGAUGUAACUCAUCGAACAAUUUAAUAUGCUUUGUUCUACAGGGUGGAGUCAUCCGACAAGAGCUAUUCUAUCUUCUUAGAGACGAGAAGGAUGUGCACUUCUCAUUCGGAAGUGCAGUUCGGGACGGGGUCAAGCAAGCGACGAAAGGCAUGCACUCGUCCAAAUUCUGCCUGAACAUCGCGGGCGACACCCCAUCCUCCAACCGCCUAUUUGAUGCCAUAGUGAGCCACUGCAUCCCCGUAAUCAUCAGCAACGAGAUCGAGCUCCCUUUCGAAGACGUCCUGGACUACUCCGAGUUCUGCGUCUUCGUGCGCGCUUCUGAUGCUGUAAAGAAGGGCUUUUUAAUUAAGCUGAUUAGGGGCAUAAGCAGGGAGGAGUGGACCCGCAUGUGGAAGAGGCUCAAGGAAGUAGAGGGCUACUUUGAGUUCCGGUACCCGUCGGAGAAGGACGAUGCUGUGCAGAUGAUUUGGCAGGCGGUUGCUAGGAAGGUGCCUGCUAUUCGAUUGAAGGUACAUAGAUUGAGGCGGUUCACUCGGUUUAAAGGUGAUGAGAAAAGCAAGGAUUUGCCUGAUGAUUAUUAUUGGUUAGGGAAGCAAGUUCCCAGCUUUUAGGACAUCAAAAUUUUCCCCACUUAGCAGUUCCUGUUUCAUGUGAUGAGAUGGUUGACCUGAGAUCAAUCUCAAAUUUUUCGUUUUAGCGAUAAACAACGAAGAUCCUCAUAGUGAAUUGACGAAAUCAUUACACAUGAUACAUAUUUGGUCGGCAGCCUCCAGCAUCUUCUCCAUUUUGUCCAUUUUCUCACAAAUUUCUAUUGAGCUUGUUCAUAACUGCAGUUUUGUGACAAUAAAUAAUUGUAUGUAAAGUUCUAGUAUUACUUGAUAGUGCAGCUAAAUGUAGUGAUUACACAUUCAAUUUAACUUGUAUUCAAAUUGAAUUGUUGUUUUGAAAUUGUUUGCAGCUAUCAAAGAAGAUCGGUUUCUGAGAAUUGUUGAUUCCUUGGAUACAUACAUUCUUAUUCUGAUUUUUAGUCACAAGAGUUCGUGUCGCAUUAAAAUGUGGCUACAACUAUUAAGCUAUUUGCUGUUAAAUAUAUUGCUGGAAAUAAAUUGUAACUUGCGUUAGACAUAUUUCCUCCUCUUCAUCAGAAUAAAGUUUUCUCAGAUCAGAGAACUUAUCCGAUAUGAAGAAUCUGUCAAUAUAGUAGCAUAUAAUUACAAUUUUAAUUAUUAAAUCAAAUUUUCUUCCUCACACAGCUUCUGUUUUCUGGAAAAGAGCCAAAAGUCUACAAGCUCUUUUGUGAAAUCUUUUUCCCUGCCUAUUAUAACAGUUUUGUGGUUAGCACCCUUAAUGAUGAUAAGAUCUGCGAGUGCAAACUUUGAUUUCAUAUUGUAGCUACAUUCGAUCGGAACCACCUGAUCUUUAUCCCCGUGGAUUACUUUGACCGGUAUCCCCGCCUUUUUCACGACUUCCAAAUGCUUAUCCUGCAACUUUGCCCCUCCGCAGAUCACAUUGUGCAUUGUAUGCCACGCCGAAUGAUGAGUAUGCUUAGGUAUGUCCCUUAUCACAAAGUUCAGGUCCCUGCAGUAAAAUUCAGUAAAUGGAGUUAACAAAGGCAUGAACAGCUAAUAGAUGGCGUGUUAAAUCGAUCGAAUUGUUACCUUUUCCGCAUAAUUGUUUUCAAAAUCCACUCCCAUAUCAAGUGGUUUCUGCAGUAAACAAAGCAAACAGUUCUUCCUACAUGUUCAUACCAUGACAUGACAGAAGACCCAAACAGUAAUGGUGGCCAAAUUUUCCUCUCAGCAAGUUUGUUCAGAGUAUUGUAGCUUGCUUUCGCAUCGUCUGAAGGAAAAUAUGGCUGCGCACAAAUAUCGUAACGGUGAACAAAAGUUAGAGAGUAAAUUUACGACGAAAAGCAUUACCUUAAUCUGAGAAACCAUUGGAACAAAUGAAUUGAUACUCACUGGUGCAACCAAUGUGAUUGAUUCAACACAUGUUGGAUACUUUGCAGCUAAGGCGAGCGCAAUGAUACAACCCAUAGAAUGAGCAACUAAGUGGAAAGAAUUUAGCCGAAAUGGUUCGAUUACCGAUCUCUCGAUCAUUUUGAUAUGAUCUUUUACUCGAUACAAACAAUUUGCCGGUUUCGGGCUUCUUCCGAAGCCCAGGAGAUCCACCGCAAACAUCCUAAAUUUUGAUUUUGCUGCAGCUUCAGGAAAAAUUGUCUCCAACCAAAACGAGGAUGAAGAGAGGAAUCCGUGUAUGAAAAGCACAUUUUCCGAAGAGUCUAUCUCAUUUUUGCUUUCUGCCGCAAAAGCCGAGAAUAAGGUUGCGUUAGUAUCGACCUUUUAAAUGCUAGUAAAUAUUAGAUUAAGAGAUGGUUUAUUUUCACCAAGAGAUGGUUCCUUGACGACCAAAUGAAGCCUAUCCUCUCCUCCUCUGUCCCGAAAAGUGCCGCUGCCGCCGACGCAAGUGUCGGAACUGCAAUCCGACCACCGGCGACACCCGGAUACGCCUCUUUCCUUCUCCCCGCCGCGACUCCUCAUCCUCAAACUAAGAAUACCCAUUCCCCUAAAUAGGUUCUUUCUCCCGUGCAACGUCUCCGACACUUCCUCUCUCUCCUCCGCUUCUUCCUCUUGCUCGUUUUUCUCCCCGUUAUUAACAUAACAGUAACAUGGUAUUGGGCUCUCUUCGACGACGCCGUCUACGAAGCUAUAGACCAAGCAUAAGAUGACGUCGAGGAGAUCCAGGAAUGCGAAGACGGUGAAACUAGCGGCGGUUGUGAAAGUGUCGGCGACACUUCUCAGCCAUGUUAGGGGAGAAAACUCUGGGACACUUAGCAUCGUUAUCUUACUCUACAGCAAAACGUUUCGGGAAGAGUUGAGAGAGAGAAGAGUUUUGAGGAGAGAUCGAAAUGUGUGUGCUCGUUUUGUGUCAGUAGUUUGUCCACGUAGUUGUUGUGCGGUCGAUAGGAAAAACUACGCAAGUAUUAUUAUAAUUAUUUUUAUUCUUAUUCUUAUUAGAAUCCGAGUAAGGUGCUUCUAAAAAUACUACCACUCAUAUAAUAUUUUUAAUUUAUUAACCAUUGGAUUAACUACUUUGACAAUUUCUAGUUUUGAUCACUCAACCUUACCUUAGGUGAGACCGUUAUCAUUUCAGCUCUAUAAUUUUUUAUUUAAAAGUCAAAAAAUCGAAAACAUCAAUUUGUUAUGCUUCCAAAAGUAUAAUAGCACUAUACUUAUUAUUAUUAUUAUUGUUAUAUCUUUUUUUCUUGUAUUUAUAAAAAAAAUCUAAAUACAAAUGAAAUAGGUAACAAAUUUACAAUGUAGGUACUUUCAAUAACAUGGCUGAAAAAUUCAAAACAGAAUAAUUUUGAGUAACUACUACUAGGCUUCUGAAAUUCAUCGCUUCAAACUGAAUUUGAAUUAAAAAAAGUAUGCAUAUGAAUUUACAAAUAGGUAUUAGAUUUUGAAUUAAAAUAGAUACAUCUUCCUAACUCCUAAGUCUGUAUCCACAUUACAAUAUUCAAAAUGACAUCUCCUUUUAUUUGUUAGUUACUAAAUUUUGAAAAUUUUUUAUUUUACUUUCUAUAAUUUUAUUUAUUAAUGAAAUUGUGUUUUGUUUUUGGGCUUUCAAAUUUGGGCAGAUUAAAUUAUAGUUUUGAAUUUUAAAAUAGAGUGAUUAUAAUUUCUAUUUCAAUUUUAGGUUUUGGUUUGGUUGGCAAGUUGAGAAAGGGCCUAUAAUUAAUAAAGUAUGUGUCAAGUGGUAGCUAAGUUGAUGUAAUAUAUAUAUAGAGUUGAGCUAGAAUACUAUCGAUAGCAAAUCGGCUCUUUUGCCACCCAUUUGUUUUCGAUGAUGGAGCCUCCAAAUUGAUGAUCGGCACCGUUGAACAUGAUCUAUACCAUUUGAAGUAUUUAGAAAUCAAAUUUCAUACAUUUUUGAUAUUGUUCUCUUAUCCAUCAAGUGGACACAAAAACGAACGGCUAAAAAUGAAUAUUCUCAAAAAAAUGAUGAUAGGAGUCUUGUAAUCAAGAUCAAAAGUAUAGAUCUUGUUUUAAAUAGUUUAAAGAAUUUUCUAACAAAAAUUCAAUUGAUUUGGAUAUCUUUACACCAUUAAACGAGAAAACGNUAUAGUAGCCUAGUUCUAUAUAUAUAUAUAUAUAUAUAUAUAUAUAUAUAUAUAUAUAUAUAAUUAUGCUACUAUACUAUCAAUAGUACCAAGCCCUUGGUACUAUUGAGUUUUCGGCCGUUGGAUGAAAAGAUGUGCGGUUAGGAUGAGAGUGCGGCUAGGAUGCUUAUGGAAGCACGGAAGGCUCCGUGCUUUCACUUUGUUUUCGAUGUUCGGACUUUCGAAUCGACGAUCGGCUCCGUUAGACUUGAUCUAGAGUAUUUGAAGUAUCUAGAAAAUAAAUUUUGCGAUUUUUCGAUAUCAUUUGUCUAGUGAUCGAAGUAGCUCAAAAUUAACGGCUGAAAAUAAAAAUCUUAUAAAAUAUGAUGAUAUGACAAUAAAAUUUUGGAUCAAAGUUAUUGAUCUUGUUUUAUAUAGUAUAAGGAAUUUUCUAUCAAAAUUUUAUGUGAUUUGGAUAUUUCUACACCGUUAAACUUGCAACCGGCACACCAUGCCCGUUAAAAUUAUUGAUUUUGAGCCCCUUCGAUCACUAGGCAAAUGAUAUCAAAAAAUCACAAAAUUUAUUUUCUAGGUACUUUAAAUACUCUAGAUCAACUCUAACAGAGCCAAUUGUCGAUUCGAAAGUCCGAACAUCGAAAACAACUUGGAAGCACGGAGGGCUCCGUGCUUCUAUAAGCAUAUCAGCCCACUAUAUAUAUAUAUAUAGAGAGAGAGAGAGAGAGAGAGAGAGAGAGAGAGAGAGAGAGAGAGAGAGAGAGUAAGGCUACUAUAUUAUUAUGAGUAUUUGGCCCUUUGUACUCAUAAGUUGUUUUUGAUGAUGGAGCUUCCAAAUCGACGAUUCACUUCAUUAAAUAUGAUCUAGAGUAUUUGAAACUUCUAGAAAAUAAAUUUCGUAAUUUUUCGAAAUCAUAAUAAAGUCCAUCAGGCAAGUAUAAAAUGAACGGUCAAAAUCGAACGAUGUCUUAAAAAUGGAUGAUCGGAUCCUUCAAUUUAAGAUCAGAGUUAUUGAUUUUUAUCUAGGUAGUGAAUAGAAUUUUCUAUAUAUCAAAAAUUCAAUCUAUUCGGAUUCUUUAGCACUGUUAAACUAGCAAGUAUUCCAUACCGACUGUUAAAAAUUGUCAAUUUUGUGAGCUUUUGAUCGUAAGGUAAAUGAUGUCGAAAAAUUAUGAAAUUUGAUUUCUAGAUGUUUCAAAUGCUCUAGAUAACAUUUAACGGUGUGGAUCAUCGAUUCGGAAGCUCUAUCAUCGAAAACAACUUAUGAGUACGAGGGCGAUCGUACUCAUAAUAGUAUAGUAGUAGCCGAACUCUAUAUAUAUAUAUAUAUAUAUAUAUAUAUAUAUAUAUCCUGCUCAUUUGGUGCUAUAAAAUUUUCUGUCGUUAGAUUUAUUUUUUUUUUCAUUUUCAUCCAUUCAAUUAUACUAUUCAACUAACCAUUUAUUCAACUCUAGUGGGCCCACAUCAUACUAAUCACAUAUCUUUUAAUUUAAGUGCAGAAAACUUAAUAGCACCAAAUAUAAUUUCCCCCCUUCCACCU